UCAGAGUUAAGUGACGAUAGCCUAGGAGAUACACCUGUACCCAUGCCGAACACAGAAGUUAAGCCUUAGACNGCCGGAAGUAGUUGGGGGUUGCCCCCUGUGAGAUAGGGAAGUCGCUUAGC
rnacentral:rRNA from 1 species